rnacentral:misc_RNA from 1 species
AACUAGCUAUUUCAAGAAUCUCAUCUCCUAACUAAAAGGAUUCAUGAAAUUACUGAAGAGGAAGAAACAUUAAUGAUCCUUAUAGUUCGCAAAUCAAUACCUCAAAAGCAAUGACAAAAAUCCCUUAAACUUGGCACUCACUAUAGUGAUUUAAUUUGUUAAAAUAGUGGUCCAUGGCCUACUGGAAGAUCUUUGUGGAAAUCUUA